GUGGGGAAUAUUGGACAAUGGGCGAAAGCCUGAUCCAGCCAUGCCGCGUGUGUGAAGAAGGUCUUCGGAUUGUAAAGCACUUUAAGUUGGGAGGAAGGGCAGUAAGUUAAUACCUUGCUGUUUUGACGUUACCGACAGAAUAAGCACCGGCUAACUUCGUGCCAGCAGCCGCGGUAAUACGAAGGGUGCAAGCGUUAAUCGGAAUUACUGGGCGUAAAGCGCGCGUAGGUGGUUUUGUAAGUUGGAGGUGAAAUCCCCGGGCUCAACCUGGGAAGUGCCUCCAAAACUGCAUGACUAGAGUACGGUAGAGGGUAGUGGAAUUUCCUGUGUAGCGGUGAAAUGCGUAGAUAUAGGAAGGAACACCAGUGGCGAAGGCGACUACCUGGACUGAUACUGACACUGAGGUGCGAAAGCGUGGGGAGCAAACAGGAUUAGAAACCCCAGUAGUCC
rnacentral:rRNA from 1 species